GCCCCUCUAGUGCAAUGGUUAGCAUAGGUUUUUCCGGAGAAUCUGAUCCGAGUUCGAUCCUCGGGAGGGGCU
rnacentral:tRNA from 1 species